AGACGUGGCCGAGGCGGGUCAAAUCAUAGUGCGGGUGUUAUCAACUUAAUAUCUGAUACGGGUUUUAUUUAGACCUAAAAUAUUAAACUUAUUUUUGUAAGUUGGCGGAGUGCUCAGAGCCUGCUUCACCUCCGCGGCGAGUCGGCCCGGUGUUGCACUCUCUUCGGGAUCGGCCCGCGUAUG